AGCCGGCCAUGCUUCAAAAAGGAGCCUCGCGCCGGGAACCCCCUUCAGACGGUGGAGCGCACAGCGUCCAUGGGAACAGAACGGGGACCCCCUCUCUGCAUCUCUACCCAUCCCGACACCAAACGCCCAGCACCCUCCCACCCAAACACCAAUGUGAACGAUCCUUCGUCUUCAAGACGCAGACUGCGAGUCUGAAGAGGGGGAAACACAACAUGGACAGUUGACACACAACAUGCUGCAGGUCACCGUGCUUCAUUUCAGUCUAUAAACAGCAACAAAGUGGAGCCAGACAUGCAUGUCAACCGAGCCCUUGAGUGCUUCUCCAAAGACUCGUACUGUAAACUGUGAACAGUACCUUGUGGAUAAGCUGCAUAUCUGUCUGUUAAUGCCUGCUGCCCUCAUCUCUCCAUAAACCACAGCACUGCUGGAAAAGCCAUUAGAGAGAACUGUGUCAGAGUGAGCGAAUGAUCCUGCAUAAUCACACUCGCUUCCUGGACGGAGAAGUGAAAACGAUCCACAAAAUAUAUAGAAGGAGCGCAAAGGCUUGUCUGUCUGGGUGCUAUACAGUAGCAUUUUGUGGUUUCCGCACACCGCAGCCUCAGACGGCAGCACAUUCAGAGAGCUGACGCCACUGGAGCGAGGAUUUUCUGCUAUGCAGAUGCCAGUGUGGUCUUAUCACAUGAUUGGGAAGGGUUCAGAGUCUUUUAAACUUAUUGGAACCAUGUCAUCCGCUACUUUGAGAAGAUAAAACCCACACUUGGCUGGAUUCUGACGGGUUUAUGAACCUUCUCAGACAUCCUGCUUCUUGAAGUAUGUGUCGAAUCAGCCUGUUUAUUCGGCUGGGAUUUUAUGAGAUGAGAAACGAGGACGCCCCCUUCAACCCGGCUUCCCUGCGGACCGGUCUGAUUGAGACAGAGGAAGUGGUUGUGUAUAAAGGGGCGUGGCUUCGCAUUCUGCGGUACGCUGAUCUGAGUGACUCAGGGGCACUACAGCAGACGGCCUCAUUGAUGUUGCCUUUGAACUUGAGUACAGAUGUCCACCACAGGAGUAAACAUCCUGUUCUAUGACCACCGAACUAGCAGAGCCAGUCUGCGCCGUAUACCGCCGGGGGCAGAAAAGCGCUGGAAGUCGAAGAGAGCGUGCAGUUGUUUAUUCAGUGGAUUGGAGUCCCGCAGCUCCAAGGUUUUUCUUGGGUGACGGCCACUUUCAGAGGCAAGAGCUCAUGCUAAAUAUCCCGCUGUCAGGCUGGCAAGCUAGUUUGUGUUUGAAUGACAACAUAAAGGCUUUCCGUUAUCCUGGGUGGCAUUCCAAAGCAUAGGAUCAACUAGGAAGGAAAAGCUGAGAGGUUUGUAGGGAGAUCAGGGCAUGUAGGUCAAAGCCAUUUCCUGCACACCCACAACACUUCCCCCAUAAACAUCCAUGAGCUUGGGCCUAACAAAUCCAUCCGUCGUAUUAAUCUCAUCAAUGUUUAAUAAUAAAAUACUAUAUAAACACCAUGUAAUUGAAUAUUCAUCUUCUGCCUCCAAUCUUUAGGUUUAAUAGCUGCAGGUCAAACCGCUUGGCUGGGUGACAAACCGAGGAAUUCAUCCAAACCUCUAGUUCCUUAUAAGAGACUGAGUCAGCUCCAGUGUAAUCAGCAGGACGUAGGAGUUCGUAGUCCAUGUUGAUCAAAGACGGUAAGAUGGGAAACACAAAAGGAGCCCUGAAUGAUUCAUUCCCCCUACAGUCCUCAGGCCCAAGGUGCAGUGCUGCAUCUCUGGUCAACUGGGAGUCUGAGAUGAAGCACUGUAGCUCGGGAGGAAGGACGCUGCCUGCUAGACCUUGAUUUUACAUUACAAAUUAGAGAUUUCUAUUGAAUAAAAUGGCUCCUGCGGCCAUUGUUUAUCAUUGUAGACCAGGUGUUGGUUCUAGGAUUGAAUGUGCUUCUAUUGUUGCCGGUCUUCCGUAACAAUGCAUCAUUUCCCCAUCCCCGGGGUCCAGUUUUCCCAGGAAUCCCUUGGGCAAUCAUAAGGGGGAUUCCUGGAAAUACUGUUCUUGGGGGUGGGGCUGGACAACCGAAUUCAUUUAAUGAUAUUUUCAACUGUAACUGUUUUAUAUAAUCAUGUAUUACUAUAACCACUGGUUAUACACGACGAUUCAAAGUUUGGGAUCAUCAUUUUGUAAUAUUUAUUAUGCUCAGAAUACAUUUAUUGAAUUAAAAAUACAGUAAAAACAGUAAUAUUAUGAAAUAUUAUUACAAUUUAAAACAACUGUUUUCUAAUAUACUUUCACAUUCCUGUGAUGCAAAGCUGCAUUUUCAGCGGCCAUUUCCAAAAUUUUCAAUGUCACAUGAUCCUUCAGAAA